rnacentral:lncRNA from 1 species
AAGAAUUCAAAUCACUCCACUCUCUCUCUCUUGAAGCUCACGGCCAACACCCUCUUUCUUUCCUUCCAAUUUUCGAAAUUUACAAGCAUUUCUUCAAGAUUCAAGUUCAUUCCAAGCUUGUUUCAAGCACUUUUGAAGAUCCAAAGGUGAUUUGGAGGUGUUUCAAGCAAGAACCAAGCUCCAUAUCCUCAUAUUUUGUCAAAAACCCAUCAAAAAUCCAUCAAAAAUCGUGAAGGUAUAAAAUUUAUGUUUAAAUCCUUGACGCGUAGAAAUCAAUCUCUGGGAUUGCGCUAUUUAAAAUACGCACCCAAAGGUACUUGGGUUCGACUUCGGCAAUCAUGGCUUAUCUUGUGGUUGUUGAUGCAUGUUUUGUUACUUAAAAUGUUGGACUGAUUUUUAAAAACUUUCUGGGACGAAUGUAAUAAGAUCCGUGAGGAUCAAAAAAACUUAACUAUGUCGUGGUUGUGUCAUGUUUAAAAACGAAAUGUUUAAAACUUAGGUUUUAAAUAAGAUGAUAUGUCCAACAAUUUAAUGCAUCGAUCAUCAAGAUAUAAAUGGGCACCAGCUUCCGUCACCACUACGUUUUAUAUUCCGCUGCAACGUAUUUUGGGGUGUGAC